CAGAGCCUCUAUAUUUACUGCUGUCCUGGAUACUGAUUUGUAAACAUGUAAAAAUAAGGCGGCUAAUGCCCUCAUGUAUCAUCAACAAAGAUAGUGACAAUUAAAUGAAUAAUUUUAUUUCCUUUUUGCAAUUUCUCAUUGAUGUGAUGUAAAUUUUCUGUUAGAAAGUCACACGAUUCUGUAUCUAUACUAGUAUGACAGUUUGCCUAAGUUUCACAAGACUGUUUUAUCUUAUUUUUGCAGAAAUUUUUUUUUCUAGGUGUAUACAACUGUGCAAGUAUUGAACAUCGCAGCUUGAAAUUUAUGCAAUGUGACCUAAAAGACAACAUAAUAAUGGACUGAUGUUCUCUGGUCGUUCGUACUUGUUGGCCACACACAUGAAGAUAUUGAUCCUGCUUUCAGCUAAUAUCAGAAAAAAUAAGAACAAAGGAUGCUGAAACUGUGCAGUCACUGUUCAGGAUUAUUCCAGAUGUUCAAAAAGUGAAAUUAUAAUACAAUAUAUGUUACUGGUUAAUUCCUAUGAUUAGUAAUUUUAAACAACACACAGAGACUUUGCAUUAUUGUUUUACAAGAGCGACACCAAAAGAUGCAGUCAACAUUUAUCAUUUUUAUCAAAAUACACCCAGGACAAACCAUGGAUACACUUAGCUUGAAAUUUGGUGCUUUCUUACCAAAAUUGCCUGGACGUAAAAGAAAUGAAGAACCUAAAUUCAUGACAACAAUCAGGAGAUACCAGAAGAACUAGUAUAAAUGGUUAAAGAUGAAAGAAUGCAGAAUAAGGCAGGAUUGAAAGGAAGAAAGAACUAGUCAUCAGUAAAGAAACAGAUCAAUUUAUAUAACAUGUAAUAAUUCCAUCUGAAUAUAACAAACAUUGCACAUGUUAUGAAGAUUUGUUCACAUGUCUACUCUGAUUUGUAGUUAUGCAUUUGUAAUAUUAUAUAGUACAUGUAUUUUAUUUUAGAACAGUAUUUUUUUUUUUGCUUUGGAGAACAUCAAAGAAAUUUAGAAAAAUAUAAUUAAAGAUAGUUUCUUCCAUUUUUUCUGUGACAAAAAAAAAUUGUGCAAAUUAGGACAAUGAAAUGAGGCUAUAUUAUUAAAUAUUUUUGAGUUUUAUUUUUUUUUACAUCCUAUUUUAAAAUUUCAUUGGCAUUUGAAGUAAUGAGUUGAAACCAGUUUUUAUCAAUCAUUUUUUUUUCAAGAUGUACAAACAGUACAGUAGGUUAAGUCUUUGGUGUACAUUAGUUUACUAUGAUGUUAAGGUCAAAUAAACUUGAAACUUUGUACUUACAAGUGUUCAUUAUGAAGUCAUUUUUGUAAAAUAAUUACAAAUAAGUUACUGAACAUGGAAAUAUGAUUGUGGGAGCAGGGUAUAAUGUGUUAUGGACACACAUCUCAAUCCCAUAGAGCACCACCCUCUCAGUAACCUAAUGGUAUAUAUUGACUUUGAAAAUUUCCUUAGUUUACACUGUAAGGUUUGUGAUAAGUUCAGUUUAAGGAGAACCAUUAAUAGUAUGUUAGGGAUAUUUUAUUUGCAGUUGAAUAAGCUUUUGGACAACGCAUGUGCUUGGGGAUUUUUUUUACCUUGAACCCUCAAUCAUGGUCUAAUAACUUAGAAUCUUUUGCAAAGUUUACAUGUUAAAGUUUAUGCUUAGGCCAGUUGAAAAGCGACCACUUAUCAGAGGCGGAUUUAGAGGGGGCCUGCCCCCCCUCCUUUGUGGGACAAAUUUGGUUGAUUAUAUAAAGGGAAUCACUGAAGCAUGACAAAAGAGAUGCAGUAGAGAGCAACCUUUAUAUUUCUUAGAAAAUACUUUUUUCAGAACUGUAAUGAAAAGUAUGCUUAAAACAAAAUUCAUAUUUUUUUCAGUUAAACACAUAUUUUUUAUGAAUCAUAAUAUUUCAACAAAUGUUUGAAACAAAUUAACAUAAAAACUGUCUAAAUGUAUAAAAAUUCUGUGUUGUAAAAUCUUAUCAAUUUUGUUUUUCGGGAUUUUUCCCAAUAUGUUUAAGAAAUCUGUAGCAUAAUUUUUGCUUGUAGAUUUUAUUUCGGGAUUUUUCCCGAAAUGGGUAAAAAAAUCUAUGCAACAAGUGUGUGCUUGAUAAUAGAUUUAUAUUUUCGGGAUUUUACCCGAAAUGUGAAAAGAAAUUAUUAGUCAUGAGUUCUAGCAUAUACUUUGGGUUUUCGGGAUAAAUCCCGAAAUAUUUGAAGACAUCUGUGUUAUACAUUUUGCACUUAGUUUAUUUUUGUCGGGAUUUUUCCCGAAAUGUGUUUCAGAUCUAUUUGUCAAAAUGCUUUGCCAACAUAUAUGUUAUAAAUAAUAAUGUUGAAAAUGAUUUCGGGACAUUUCCCGAAUAAAAAGUUGUCACAUACAUCUUUACCACAAAUAUUUUGAAACUUUAAUAUAUUUUGGGAAAUUUCCCGAAAAUUAAAUGUAAGUUUUAUCAAUUAAAUGAAUAAAAACAUGGAAUAUUGUAAAAA